rnacentral:rRNA from 1 species
UACGUAGGGUGCGAGCGUUAAUCGGAAUUACUGGGCGUAAAGCGUGCGCAGGCGGUUUUGUAAGCCAGAUGUGAAAGCCCCGGGCUCAACCUGGGAAUGGCAUUUGGGACUGCAAGGCUUGAGUGCGGCAGAGGAGACUGGAAUUCCUGGUGUAGCAGUGAAAUGCGUAGAUAUCAGGAGGAAUACCGAGUGCGAAGGCAGGUCUCUGGGCUGACACUGACGCUCAUGCACGAAAGCGUGGGGAGCAAACAGG